UACAUAUUUCGCAGUGUUGUCUCCUGUUUGGGGGGGGGUGUGUGAAGAUGAGGAGAGAUCAGAUGCAAGAUUAGAGAGGAUGGUGCUGGAGACAACAUCUUGAGACAAUCUGGUUCCAUACUGCUAUGCCUUAACCUAUACUGAUGCUGAAGGGAUAUCCCAGGAUCUGUCUUCUUUCAGCUACACAAAUCCUUCUCAUUUCUAGUUUGUACUUUAUUGUGGCAAGCCUUUAGGAAUGCUCCCCAUAAAGGACCAGAAAUUAUUAGAGCUUGAAGUAAAUUGAGUCCAAGCUCUUCUAACCCUGCUUCUUGCCUGCCAGGUUUUCAGGUAGGGCACUGUUCCAGCUGGGAACAACUCGGUCUUUUAUUCCUGUGGUCUGCAGACCUGUUACAACCAGAUCCUUCCUUUGGCUGGGGAGGGGUUGUACCACCAGAUCAUGGUGGGGACUUGUCCACUUCACAUCUUCCUGCUCUCUCCUUCCCUCCCUUUGAUGCUUGUCUGAGAGCUCACCUUGCCUGGUGGAUUGAAUCUCACGCAGCUAGGCCAUUGCACGGGCUCACAGCCUCAUGCACAGGGGUUGCACGUAGCACGUUUACUGUUCACGUGAGGAGGGUUUAUGUUCCUGAAGCUCCCCUUGGUCCCCUGUGGAGCUGGUCCUUAACUAGCCUGAUGUUCUGCUCAGGGUCUGACCAGGUCCCUGGUGGGAUCCCAGCAGCUCCCACUGAUUUCAGACGGGAAAAGCAUGAAGGAGGCUGGUGAAUGGGACCCCUGGGAAACACUGCUUCACUUUGUCCUCAGAAGCACACGCAGCAGGGAAACUGCUUGGCUUUUCUCCUCUGCCUCAGAAAACAUCUCUCGUGUUCCAGUGACCUGCUUAUUAUGUAGGUCAACAUCAGCUGGAAGGAAAAAACAAUUUCAAAAGUAGGAGAAAUCUAGCAGGGUUCCUCCACGGAGCAGCACUUUCUGGAAAAGCAGGGAAAGUUUACCUGGGGGAGGUGGCAGGCAGUGUGGCCUGUUCCUCUUCCACCCACCCACCCUGGGGCAGAGCAGUCGGAGAGCAGAAACUCUGCAGCUGGAGGGAUGUGUGAUACCCUGAAAGCAAUCAGAUCCAGUGUGCCCUGUGAUGGGGGAACAGUGCAUUAAAGUAGACAGUAGGAACUUGACUUGAGUGGUCAGGGGCUGUUUGCCCUUUAAUGACUUUGUUGGGCUUGGGUUUGGCAAUUAGGACGUUGUUUCUGUUGGUCUUACCUUGAUUGUGUAUCUGCACAGUGGAGACCUGUGCCACGUGUGCUGCAGGAGCAGUCCCUGCUGGGAGACAAGACCGUCCCACCAGGGGUAAAAAAGGGACACAGAACAAGCAAACGCCUCUGGAUGCCAAAAGUAAAACUGGGACCUGAACCAAAAUUCAUCCCAGUGUCGUGCUAAUGCCAUUACCCUGGGGCUGCUCCAGUUUGCUCGUAGCAGAGCUGACACUUUGUGAUACCCACUGAGAAAAGAGAAGGCCCUUAGCAUAAACUGCUGACUGUAACCUAAGCAAGGGACAAAUUGCUCUGUGAACAAGAGGUCUGAUGAAGUCCAACUUCACUCACACUUGCCUCUGAUGCAGUAACUCUUAAUAUCCCUCACUAUCCUCACUUCUCUCAGAUCCCCUAAAUAUCGGCUGUGCCCUGGCUACUUCCUGCUUGGGAAAGUCUGUGUGUGUGUUUGCUGGCCAGCCAGCAGGCAGGUAGAGCUGCAGCCUUUCCUUUGCAGGAGCAUGAAUGUGACUCCCCUCUCUAUCUGCUCACUUAGGGAUUUCUCUUUCCCUUCAAAAUGUGUAGAAAUGCUAUGCUUUUGAGACAGCCAGGCUUGACAGGAGAAGCUGAAAUCACUCACAGGCUUCACUAGUAAUCAAGGUGAGGCAAUGUGAUCUUGUUAAUUGUUACCUUAGAAAAUGAGAUUUCAAUAUGCUGCGGUUUUGGCUAUGAAAAUGUGUAUGAGGAGGUGGGUUGUGCAGCGAGCAGAGGGCUCUGUCCGCCUCUGCCUUGCUGUUUGCUGGGUCCCCUCCCCAGGUCCCCAUCACGGCUGUGUUGCUGCUCACUGUAGCAGGGCUGGCUGAGCAACCUCUCACUGGGCACUUGCGCUGUUGCUGCGUUCAUCCCUGCUAAGGCUGAGUGUUUGAAGCCUCUCCAGUUGCAGGAGGCUCCUGGUACAGACUCUCAUGCUUGAAGGUGUGACUGACGUUUUCCCAGAAUACAGGUUCUUGCAGAGCUGCUUGCUUUGUUUCAGAUGUGCUUGUCUCCUGCAGCCUUUGCUCUUCACUUUAUACCAGCAUCUGCUGUGUUGUCUGGAUAAAGCACAUACAUCUGUCUGUGACUGGACUGUCCUCCCUCUUCGGCAUCUUGAUCUUGGUGGUUUCCAUGUAAUAUAUGAAGAUCUCUCUGUGGAUCACAGUUCUCCUGCUGUCUAACCCAAGGGUAAGCAGUCCUCCUUGUCUCAUCGCACCACAGUAGUCUAGAGAGAAGUCAGUGUAGGAAGCGAUACAACAAUGACAUUUUGAACAAAAUGACAUUUUUUUCACCUACAGUAAAAAGAUAUCUCCCAUGCUUUGUGCACCCACCCGGAGCAGAGCAUUAAUAAAGCAGGCAAGCAGGCGUGUAUCUUAGCUGGAGGCACUGCCAUGCGAUCUGCCAGUGCACCGCAGACAACUUGGAAGUCUUACUCAAGAUGUAGGAUUAGGAUGCCUGAUACGCUGUCCUUUCCUCCCACGGAUCCCGGGUUCCAGCUGCUUCCCACAUCUCCAGGAGCUGAUAAAAAAAAUCUCAUACAAUGGGUCAAGGAGAAAACGGAACGAGUCGCUUCCUGAAGGCAAAAAUGGGAGGUGGCUGUGAUCGCUGCAUCCUGGCUCGCCACCCCAAAGGAUUUGCCCUGCUGCAUGUUGCUUGCUGUUCCUUGGCUUGUGUGAGCACUUGGUGAGCUUCACCCCUGGAGCAAGCGUAAAUUGCUUAGAAUUUUCUGGAGAUAACAUGAAAGCCGAAAGCUGAAUAUGGACACUUUCCAAGGGUCAGAAUGUGUUAGGAACUGUCUUGUUAGUUGAAUCUGUGGGUGGAGGAUUCACAUCCAUUUACAAAAGUCUGAAGCUAGAUGGUGAAAUACCUUCUGCUCCUCCCAUUUCCCAGCACUUAAUGGAGUAGUAGAGCUCUGUUACAGCAUUUUGAAGGACUCAUGCUUAGAUAUAAACCAUUCUAUAGAGAAAAUACUGUACAGUAAUGUUUGUGCUGCUCCCUUGUCCUGCUGCUGGUGAAUCUCCCUCUGUUGACAAGCUCUUCAUUCAUUGGCAUGAUAGCAGCAAGCCUGCUUUCAGCACUGUUUCCAAACUUAGCCAACGCUUAGAACAGAUUGAUAGAGAACGGUAACCUGGGACUGCUAAUAAGGUGAGCUCAGGGGUUGUUCUGGGCUCUCAGCUGUCUGCUGGGUCUCUGUCACCUUAGAAAUAGCCUCCUCUGUUACAGAGCUUGCAAAAUGCUGCAGCCAGCCUGCCUCACUGGGCUGCGAGAGAGAGAGAAGCAGGAGCUCAGAUACUGGGUACUAUAGACGGGUCCUUUGCAUUGGUCCUGCUGGCAUGAAGAGGGUUUAUGCCGCACAAAGGCUUGCUGCAGUGUGUUUCAACAAGGGAAGCUCUUUCCUCUUGUUUGGCAGAGGCAUUCAUAGCCCCUUUGAAAGGUUAGUUUGCUACCAGGGAGCUUUUCCAGCUGCAGGAUGGGUCUCAGGGCAUAUGAGGAGUCCUUUCAUAUUCAGGAGUUCCUCCUCUUUUCAGGAGCCUGAAGGAGCUCUGUCAGUAUCAUGGUAGUGCCUGGAGCCCAGGGUCGGUAUAGCUUACAUUGAACACGUAAAGCUGGCUCAGGAAAAACUGUUGCCAGCUCUUCAAAUCCAGAGAGGGUGUUUCAGGGCAAAUUUCUUUAUGCACCCCCUCCCUUUCUCAUCAAAUAUAAGAAACAAAAGGCAAAACAUAUUCUUCCCAGUUAAACUCCUCCAGAGCUACAGAAGCCAAAGGAUGAAGGGCACAAUGCAGCCAGUGCCAGGGAGGGAGUGCACUGAAAGGUUGGAGCAUGUCACGGUGCCACUUCACGUGCCUGGAGCACGAGGGUGCCUGGGGGCUGUGACAAAGGUUAUGACAACCCAUAUCAGGCACAGCUUGACUGUCCUGGUGUGCUGGGCUGGCCUGAGCUGUAUGCCUGGCUCCUCCAAAAGUGGCUGUGCAGCUCAGAGGGAAAGAUGCUGAGCUUUCACCAGCCCAUUAGGCUUCUCACAGCAAAAAUACUAUCAAUGCCUGGGGAGAGUUGACAUUACGACUGUGCAGUCCUGCAGUGUUUAGAGAUGGGAGUAUUUUGCUUGGCUUGUAAUGAAUGUGCAGCCAAAGCUUGUAAGAUGUUUCUCCAGUGAAUCACAAAAACUUCAGAAACGGGGCACCGGGAUGCCCAAUGCUGCAGCUGUCCCUGCUCCUCCCUGUGGACCCACUCCUGGGUGCAGCCGGACACAGCACGGUCCUGUCAUUGCCUGCAGCCGUUCAACACGGCUUUACUGACUUCUGGGCUCUGGAGUCCCACCGCCGGUGGCUCUGGGAGUGAAAAGCAACAAGUGCUCUACAGCAAUUCCUCCUCUGGCUGCUCUGUUGUGCCAGGUCACAGGUCCCACCCUGUGAUGUCAUCGCCAUGCAGCACAGGCAUCACGGUGAUGUUUGAGAAUGUCCCAUGGGAACCUGCAGUUGGCCAGUUGGCUCCAGCUGGCCUUCGAUUGGUGUCUGGCUGGCCAGAGCAAUGGUUGCAGAAGAAAGGUCAAGCCCAAAUGAGACCAGGUGGUUUCAAAGGGAGUUGUCAACAGCUGAAAUCUUCUCCUCUUCCUCAGAUGAGCUGGGGGAGUCAUCAGGCUCAGCUUCUCCUGCCUCUCCAGGGUGGGAUGAUCAAGCCGCUGGGGACGAUGCUGUAGGAGCAGUGAUGGAAGAAGUGUCUUUCCAAGCUUGGAGUGAUGACAGCACUACUGAAAGACACACUCCUGUUUCUUUUGAGGAGAGCACUGCCAAAACUGAAAACCUCUCCUUUCUCAAGCAGCUCUGGAAAAUUACCUGGAGCGAUGAGUUUCAGUCCAUUUGGUGGGUUGAUGAUGGAGUCUUUGUUGCCAUCAACGAAGAAAUGUUCAAGAAGGAAGUGCUGGCAAGAAGAGGACUUGGGAUAGUUUUUGAAAUGGAGAGCAUGGAAUGUUUCCAUCGUCAGCUUGACCUCUGUGGGCUGUGCAAACUGCCAGAGGUGUCUGAUUUGUCUAAAUCAGGGGAUGAAUUUCCAGCAGAAGCAGCUGCUCCUGCUCCUAGAAAGGUACAUCAGUUCCUCUGCACAGGAACUGGCGGGAGAGACUGAUGUUGAAAUCAAGUAAGCCUUGGCAACAGAGGAGAUGGGGAUGGCCAUAAAUGUCCUCACCUUCAUUUCUUUCUCAGGUGAAAACCCAGGGCUGGUGAUGACUUAACAGAACCAUAUUGUAACGUUUGAGACAGCCCAAGCUUGAGGUUUCAAAUGCCCCUAAGAGUUCUUUUCAAUACCCCAGUUUGGCUUUUGCAAUUAAAAGUCUUAGUUCUCAUAUAUUUUGUUUUCCAGGCUUGAACUGGUUGCAACUAACUCUUCUCCUUUGCAUUUUUUAGUUUCUAUGCUUCUAUUAUAGCCCCAGCUUUAAAAGGGACCAUCCCCAGCUGCCAGCAAGGUGCAAGCCAAGAGUGGGCCACAAAAGGAGAGCCCCAGCUGCAUCGUGCCUGGAUGUGGAGCUGGAGGAAAGCUGCUCUACAAGCUGCCAACAUCUUUGGCCUGCGCAGGGAACUGCUGCUGGGGUGGAGAAGGAGGUGUUCACACCAGCUCCACCGCAGGACACGUGGGUGUCUCCCCCUUGGAGGUCCUCAAAAACAAAGCGCUGGGCUAAAGCACUUCCUGGCCUCAGCAGCGCCCAAACCCCUUCCCAGGCAGCUGCCCCCCCCCACUUCCCAACCACCUUUGGCACCAGGGCUGGGUUUUCCCACCUUCCCCCCGUGCAGCCCGGCGCAGUGGCUGGGCUGGUCCCCUGGGCUGGCCUCUGUCCCUGCUGCAACCCCUGGCAAUGCCCAUGCUGGCAGCAGCCCUUGCCACAGCCAUGCCAACGUCACCCCACGGACAAAGCCCAACAGCCCCACGUUGUCCCACCUGCACCUGUGCCACCAGCGCUGCAGGUAACGGGGCUGGACCCAGCAUGGCACGUGGUAGUUAGGGUAGGGAUAGUCGCUAGUGAGUGAAGAGAGCCUAAUAGAGGUGAAAAUAAAUAGGGUCUAAGAGAGUUGGUAAGAAAUGGAGCCAAAUAGAAUUGGUAAUAAACUGUUU